GAUGAACGCUGGCGGCGUGCCUAAUACAUGCAAGUCGAGCGAACAGACGAGGAGCUUGCUCCUCUGACGCUAGCGGCGGACGGGUGAGUAACACGUGGAUAACCUACCUAUAAGACUGGGAUAACUUCGGAAAACCGGAGCUAAUACCGGAUAAUAUAUUGAACCGCAUGGUUCAAUAGUGAAAGACGGUUUUGCUGUCACUUAUAGAUGGAUCCGCGCCGCAUUAGCUAGUUGGUAAGGUAACGGCUUACCAAGGCAACGAUGCGUAGCCGACCUGAGAGGGUGAUCGGCCACACUGGAACUGAGACACGGUCCAGACUCCUACGGGAGGCAGCAGUAGGGAAUCUUCCGCAAUGGGCGAAAGCCUGACGGAGCAACGCCGCGUGAGUGAUGAAGGUCUUCGGAUCGUAAAACUCUGUUAUUAGGGAAGAACAAAUGUGUAAGUAACUAUGCACGUCUUGACGGUACCUAAUCAGAAAGCCACGGCUAACUACGUG
rnacentral:rRNA from 1 species